CUUCCUGUUUCCUUCAAACGCAGUCUGGACUCUAAAGGCAACAGUUCGGUCGUCGUUGCUGAUCCUGUUUUGCUUCUCUUCGGCAAUCCCUCAUACUCAGCAUGCAUGUGGGACAGUGGAGUGGAAAAACUUCCCUGUAACAGAACGAAACCUUCAACAGAACCAGAACCCGGCUCAGUACCAGCAGCCAUCUGCGACGGCCGACUGGAGGUUUGAGAAGACGGAGGAGAAACAGAAACAGAAAACUGAUCUCCAGCUGUCACCAGGAACAAGAUCAAAGCAUGAAGGAACCAACAGGAACCCCCAGAGAUGCUUUGGAAACCUGACAUGACACCAGAACUACGAACAGAACUGCAGUAGGAUCUGGCAAGGACUGACUGAAACAGAGAGGCUUCAGUGUUGGGGAGGAUGAUCACCAGAAACGGGGUGAGGUCUGACUUUGGAAACCUCAGCCAUUAUAAGUGCUGGAUUGGAAGUUACUUCGGCCUCCAGGCUCCUCACUGCACUGAAGAACAAACCAUCCAAAACCUCCCAGAAGCUCAGGGCGAGCUGAAAACCGUCAGGACGCAUUCAGUCACACAAAGUGCCAGUAGUCCGUGUCGCUGUAAUGUACUCGCCUCAGUAAUACGCAGCAAUAACAGCCGUGCUCUGCGUCUGGGUCAAAAGGUCAGGAGAUGGGAAUCCUGCUCUCACUGCUGUUCUUCAUCCUCUGCUGUGAUAUGAAACAUCAUCUGUCUCUCCUAAUCUCUUCCUCCAACAGUCAGUAUUCAGCUUCAAUAAAUAUCUGCUGUGGAUAAAUAGUGUUUUGCAGCUUUAAGUUCUCGUGUGUGUCAGAUCAAAGUCAGUCCCAGAAAAACAUAUUUUGUGACAACUGGUCCUUUCAUAUUUUCUGAUGGAAAUAACCGCAUUGAUCUCAUGUCAGUAUCAUUAUUGGAAACAAUCAGUUUAUUGAAUGGAUGCCGACUGAAUGUUUUAGUCACUGGAACGUUUUUUAUUGAUGUCAGAAGCUACAAGAAGAACAAACCAAUUCAUUGAAUGAGAAUGUUUCACUAAGGGAAACAUAUUUAGAUGAAUUACAUACAGUGAUGCUUUCUUUUCUUUUUGCUGUUGAAGCUGUUGCUGAACUGCAAACCUUCAUUAAGAGAUUGCUGCAUCCCGAGUUUAAUCCCAGCAGCUCUUAGACUCUGGAAUACAACAAGGUUCACUUAGCGCCGCUAAUGUUUUUGACAAAAGACAGCUUAUAAUUUGUGAUUAAACAGCUAUUAAAAUAAUUGUGUUAUUAUUAAAUAAUCAGUAUUUCUAUUUAUUUUUCAAGGUUUUCAAAUAAAGAAAAACAAACUUUUGUGAAAAUAAGAAUAAAUACAUUUUAUUUUGAAAGAUGGUUGAUAUUUAUGGAAAUUGAUGCGGAAAAAAAACAAGUUUUCAAACUAAACUUAAUAGUAAUAAAGUCAGGUUAUAGAUGCCGACUCUAAAAGCAUCACUGCUCCCGAAAAACUGUUUACAUUCCUGCUGUUAUUUGCACAAUUUCUUUUAUUUCUUACAACUUUACAACCACAUUUUGCACAUUUCUUUUCCUCAGAACAUGCCGUUUUACUCACUGCUCUGUAUUUUCAUACUGUGAACUUUCCCUUACUGUACAAUACCUGCAUAUUUUCCAAAAGAUGCUUUUUAUUCUGACAUAAGAACCUCAUCUGAACACAUCUUCUAAUUUAGUGAAUAUUUCUGUAAAUGUCAAGUCAUUCUCACUUUUCCUCACUGUAUGCUUGUUUCAGUGCUAACAUUCACACUGAAAUUGAUGAGUCAUUUUCUUGCCUUUGUCCUUUGAAAUGUUUCCAUUCGUUGUUUCCUGAUGGGGGAUCUGAGCAGGCAGUUGGUGAGAUGAUGGGAUGAGUCGGUGGCCGGUGCAGCAUCAGCAGCAAAUCGUUUCACUUAACCACAGCCUGGAGAAUCUCUGAGGUUUGCCACAGGGACCUUUGACCUUUGCGCCGGUCCUUCCUGUUGCCACCACUGUCUAAAGCUGCGUUUAUGGAUGCAUCAGGAAACUUUAACUUACUGAUCAGCUGAGGUGUGCAGCAUUGUUUGCUCCACAGCCAGGACUGUCCUUGAUUGUCACUGAGUUCAGGUUCCACUGCCACCUGGAGGAAUGAUGAGUUUUCCUCUAAUGGCUUCUAAAGUAGCUUCCCGCAGUGGGAGCGUCAGCAGCCAGCAUAUGGUGCCCUGUUGUUCACAAACGGCUGAAUGGGAAAAACAGGGAAAUAUUUCAGGAUAAAUGAAGCAGUUUGGGUUUUAUUUGGGCUGCCAUGGAGAUGUCUCUGUUGUGAUUUUUACUUUUAAACCUAUGCAUGUUGCAGCUCUGCAACCAAAAGUUAAUAUAAGGCUUUAGGUUCAGAUGGAAAACAUUUUGACUGUUGGACACGCUCAGUGUGGAUGAUUCAUGAGGAAAGCUUUGCAUUUGCAGAGGCAAAAGACUGAAAGAAAAUAGAUCUUCUUUUAUUUUUAGGUAUCAUCCAUUUCUCCAUGUGAUAUCUGCAAAGCUUUGUGACAAGGUCAUGCAUCACAGACAUCCCUGCACUCAUCCAUCAAUGAUCUAAAUCCGUCCUGAGACCAGAUGGGAUUUUUUACCCACCUAUACCCGCUUCUCUCAUAAUAUACCGUACAAUGGAAGCCUAAAAAAAAAGCCAAAAAAACCACAACAAAAAUUCUCUUAUUGUUUGACAUUAAAACAGGCAAAAUGUUUUGUGUUUUAGGCCAGACAAAAAUACUUUAUUGAUCCCAAAGGAAAAUGAGACAUUGUUAUGGGGAUGUCCUGGUCUUUUAUUCUUCUCACAGAUUGCUUCAUAACAUUCAAUUUAAAUAGAGAUUUAUGUGGAAGGAUUUUAAGACAGAAAACAUUAAAACAUCAGGAUCAGAAAUGUAAAAGUCUGGUUCAUCCUUGGAUUCACUUUUCAGAUGACUAAACAAAGUAGAGCCAGAUCUUUAAUGCAUUCAUUUCUAUUAAUUAAUUACUUAGAUUUUCAUGUUUUUUAAUCUUUUUUUUCUUUACAUACAAAAGUCUCAGGCUGGAUUUUUUUGUUUAGUCGUUAGUUUGUAGUACGCCACUACUAGAAACUAGAAACUUCUAAAGUUUUAGGAAAAACAAAUGCUAACAUUGAUAAAGCUCAUUAGCUUUCUGACAGAACAAAAUGAGAAAUGCAGAAUUAUCUGUCUGUCACUAACAUGUGAUGGGUGUUUGGUUUGUUUAAUGUAGAAGAGUAAUGGACCAGGAAGUGACCCUUUGGAACCACAGAAAUACUUUUUCUUGAUGAAAACCAGCUGAGAACCGAAGACGGAGAACCCAAUGUCGUUAUCCACAGUGUGAAAGUCCCACUGAGUCCAACUGAACUCUGUUACUGUUGGACUUAUUAACCCAUUUUUACACAGCAACAGGCUCCAAACAUGAUGGAUAUGUUUGAUUUUUACAGAAAUGUAUUCAUCCAGUCGUGUGUGGAAAAGUAUUUUAUUUCGGAAUCAGAGUUCAGAUGAUAUUUUAUUCUUGUUUAACUGCAGAAAAUAAAUGGUUUAUAUAAUAAAAAGCAGCUUGUUGAAGAUUAAGUGGGAACUCAGUCUGUUGGGAACAAUUAAUAAUAGUUUAUGUCUUGAGCCAAAUGAUGUAAAGUUAAAUGUUAGAGAAUAGAACAAGAGGAAAGUUUUGAUUUAUUAUCUUCCUGAUCAGAGCUGGAGGUUGGAGCUGCAGGCUGACUGGAAUAAAUUGAUAUAUUAUCUGACAAUGUACUAUUAAUCAAUCAAAAUGAAUGCAUUAAAGUCCCAACCCUAAACAUAUCAGAAAAUUCUUUUUAGAACAGCAAAUUCUUACAAUGACGAGACAUUUUUAUUUCCAGGUAUUUCUGGUUCUUAUAUGAGUAAAAUCCCAUCAUUAUGAACUUGCAUUGUUUAUAGGAAUGAGCAUUGAUGAGCAAAUACUUAAAAGAUGAAGUGAAAAAGAAAAUAUUUCUUGAUCUUAUAAAAUGAACAGUCUGGUUUGAUUUCUCUCCAUUCGGAGGCUCAACCAGCAGGUGUUACUGGGAGUUCUUGAAAUCUUUUCCACUUACCUUCUCUGGAGAGGAAGCAACGGUUAAUGUGCUUUAACAACUCAUUUCAACUUUUACUUGAAUUUGAUUACAGUUCAUUUGUUCCAGCCAGAGGUUCUUCCUCUGCUGUUAAAGAACCAUGGAAAGAAAAUGAAAAUAAUUUGAAUCACUUCAUCUUGUGACUCAAAACAAAAACUCUGUUUGUUGCAUUUAUCAGCUUGAAGUUACUGGUCAUGAUGAAGAACUCAGCAUGAGUUGUGAUUUUUCAUUGGUCAGCACUGUUUGCAAGAGAGCAGUGAUUAUGUUUUGAAGGACGGUAGCAGGAAGUGAUGACAGAAGCAGAAAUGUUGAGGUUUUUUUUAAAUGGAGCGGGUUGACGGCUCUUUUGUUCAAAUCUAGAGUGAAAUGUGUGACGUCGCGUUUGAUGUCCGAUUCAAAUAUACUCCUGCUGUUUGAAGGGCAUUAAUUUGACAGCUGACGAGUAACAGCAGCACAAGGGUGAAUUAAUAAUUCAUGACAAAGUUUCACUCUGGCUUUGAUCCUUUGCAGGCCCACAAUGUCAUUUUUGAUAACAGUAAUCCAGCAAAUGCUUGACUUAAAGUUCUUCAGCUUCGCUCCUUCAGAGCAAGAAGAGUCUGCUGUCUGCUUUCACUGGUAAACUUCUUAGAAAGAAAAAAAGACUUGUUAUGCUUCCUUUUAAACAAGUUACAAUAUUUCUAUGAGCUAUUAAAACAAUUUCAUUACAUUUUCUGCACAAAAUCACUCAGAUGAGAUUUCAACUCCUCAGUUCUGCAUAUUUUGAUCUCCUUUCAGAAUGUGCUGUUUUAGGACUCAGAAGCAUAAGAGGAGCCUCUAGGGUGCUCAAGUCCUCGAGAGCAACUUUUAGAUGCAUCCUUACUCCAACGGACCAGGAUCAGCUCUGAACAGACCUGCUAACGAGCCGUUCAUUUGAUUCAGGUGUGAAUCAAAUAAAAUAAAAUAAAAAAUUCAGGUGUGAAUCAAAUAAAAAAUACGAGCUGUUUUGAAACAGAUCGUUUUUUAGACACUAAAAACAUUACCUUAUUGCCAGAAAACAGCUGAAUGUUUUAUUUUAAGCACUUGGACUGUUUCUAGAAGCAGUAGAG